rnacentral:rRNA from 1 species
ACGAAGGGGGCUAGCGUUGCUCGGAAUUACUGGGCGUGAAGGGCGCGUAGGCGGCCUUUCAAGUCGGGUGUGAAAGCCCGGGGCUCAACCCCGGAACGGCACCCGAGACUGGGAGGCUCGAGACCGGAAGAGGUGGGUGGAAUACCCAGUGUAGAGGUGAAAUUCGUAGAUAUUGGGUGGAACACCGGUGGCGAAAGCGGCUCACUGGUCCGGUUCUGACGCUGAGGCGCGAAAGCCAGGGGAGCAAACGGGA